rnacentral:lncRNA from 1 species
ACCUUGAUAAUUUAUUGUAGGGGCAAUUGUUUAUAUAUCUCUGAAAAGUUUUCGACUUUCUGAUUUACUGCUCUUAAAAAGCUAAUAUUGAAAAUAUCUUUUUUACGUUCUAACGUACUCUGUUAUCUGUAUAAAAUUAUUAUUCUGCCCUUUCAAUUAUACCAUUCUACCAUCACCGUCUUUUUUAUUUGCCCUUAAGUGAAAGGCACAAAAAGUAUUUUGACUUUUGGGUCUUUUCAAAUAUACCUCUCUACCGUCAUCAACAUUUUUUAUUUGCCCUUAAAUUAAUGCCAAAAUUAGUAUUUUAAUUUUUUUUAAAUUUGGUAGAUAUUUAACUUACGUUUAACUCAAGUUAACUUAACGGAUGAUAACUGUAGGAAUAUUUUGGAAUAACGAAGAAACAUAUAAGGAAUAUAUUGAAAAGAAAAAAAAGAAAUAAAUAAAAUAUUUUCAAAUUUUUGAAAGGUAUAUAAGCAAUUAUCCCUUUAUUGUAUUAUUGGUUCCUAACCUUCCCCAUUUAUUCCCCUU